rnacentral:rRNA from 3 species
UGAAUAUUGGCAAUGAGAACGAUCAAGUGUCUUAAGGGCAUUUGGUGGAUGCCUUGGC